AAAGGGGGAUCGGCUUCGAGUAAAGUGGCGCACGGGUGAGUAACACGUAGGUAACCUGCCUCUAAGAUGGGGAUAACAUGUCGAAAGACGUGGUAAUACAGAAUAAGACCACGGCUUCCUCGGAAGCGGGGGUCAAAGAUAGCCUGUACUUGUAAGCUAUCACUUAGAGAGGGGCCUGCGUAUCAUUAGAUAGUUGGUAGGGUAAUGGCCUACCAAGGCAAAGAUGGUUAUAUGGUCCGAGAGGAGGAUCAGCCACACUGGAAGUGAGACACGGUCCAGACUCUUACGGGAGGCACCACAGGGGAAUAUUGCGCAAAGGGGGAAAGCCCGACGCAGCAACGCCGCGUGAGGGAGGAAGGCCUUCGGG
rnacentral:rRNA from 1 species